UACAGAGGGGGCAAGCGUUAUUCGGAAUUAUUGGGCGUAAAGGGCGCGUAGGCGGCUAUGCAAGUGACGGGUGAAAUCCCUCGGCUUAACCGAGGAACUGCCUGUCAGACUGUGUGGCUUGAGACCGGGAGAGGUGAGUGGAAUUCCCAGUGUAGCGGUGAAAUGCGUAGAUAUUGGGAGGAACACCAGUGGCGAAGGCGGCUCACUGGACCGGUUCUGACGCUGAGGCGCGAAAGCGUGGGGAGCAAACAGG
rnacentral:rRNA from 1 species